UGCGAGUCGAGCGUCUCUAGCUAUGUUGAGACGCGGCAUACGGCUCAGUAACACGUGGCUAACCUACCCUCAGGACGGGGACAAACCCGGGAAACUGGGGCUAAUAUCCGAUAGGCGAGGAAUCCUGGAAUGGGUCCUCACCCAAAGGACAUUGGAAACAUGCUUUCUCUGUCGCCUGGGGAUGGGGCCGCGACCGAUCAGGUUGUUGGUGAGGUAAUGGCUCACCAAGCCUUUAACCGGUACGGGCCGUGAGAGCGGUAGCCCGGAGAUGGGUACUGAGACAAGGACCCAGGCCCUACGGGGCGCAGCAGUCGCGAAAACUCCGCAAUGCACGAAAGUGUGACGGGGCUACCCCGAGUGCCGUCCGCUGAGGAUGGCUUUUCCUUGGUGUAACUAGCCGGGGGAAUAAGGAGAGGGCAAGACUGGUGUCAGCCGCCGCGGUAAUACCAGCUCUCCGAGUGGUAGGGAUGAUUAUUGGGCUUAAAGCGUCCGUAGCCGGCUUAGCAAGUUUCCUGUUAAAUUCAGCGACCUAAUCGUUGAGCCGCGGGAAAUACUACUAGGCUAGGAGGCGGGAGAGGUCGACGGUACUUCUGGGGUAGGGGUGAAAUCCUAUAAUCCCGGGAGGACCACCAGUGGCG
rnacentral:rRNA from 1 species